GGCACCGUGACCGAGCGGUCUAAGGUGCCAGAUUCAAGUAAUACUUGCUCUACUCUAGAGUUUCCUGGUCUCGAAAGAGGCAUGGGUUCGAGUCCCAUCGGUGUCA